CCUGUAUGAUGAAAUUUCCACACUAUUCGCAGUUUCCUCUCGAGCGCGGCGCUCUGCCUUAAGAGCCUUUUGGUAUCGUCGUUGCAAAUGACGGCUAAUACUUCCUUGGAUGUCUGACAAU
rnacentral:snoRNA from 1 species